AUGGGAGAACUGGAGAUAUUUGAGAUGCUGGUGGGAAUUAAGCGCCAGACCUUCAUCGUCACAUGGCAGAAUAACCACAAGUUCAGGUAUAAUGUUCUGUAUGAACCAGGUAACUCAGAAGAAACCUUAUCAUGCACGUGUCGCGGGAUGGUUCGGAAAGAGCUGCCUUGCAAACAUAUUCUCUUUGUUUUGCAUCAUCUUAAAUUGUCUGAAAUACCAAAGUGUUGUGUCCUCCAUCGGUUGUCGAAAGAUGCGAGAGAUGGGUUGCCAGCGCAAUGCAAGAGUGAUCUUUUUGGUUGGGGUUGGUCUGGGCCAGUCAAGUUAGCAUAA
rnacentral:rRNA from 1 species